rnacentral:lncRNA from 1 species
UUUUUUUCUUUUUUUUUUUUUUUUUAAAGAUUUAUUUAUUGAUUAUAUGUAAGUACACUGUAGCUGUCUUCAGACACUCUAGAAGAGGGAGUCAGAUCUUGUUGGGGAUGGUUGUGAGCCACCAUGUGGUUGCUGGGAUUUGAACUCUGGACCUUCGGAAGAGCAGUCGGGUGCUCUUACCCACUGAGCCAUCUUGCCAGCCCCCUCCUUCUUUCUUUUUGAGGUAGGGCUGGUCUCAGACUCUCAGAGAUCUGCCUGCCUCUGUCUCCUGAGUGCUGAGGUUAAAGGCAUGUGCCAUCACUCCCAGCUCAAGGGCCUAUUUCUUAUGUGCAUGUUUGUGCAUGGGCACAAGCGUGGGUGUGUGCUGAUGCAGGAGCAUGCCAGCUAACCUUGGUGUCUGUCAUUCCUCAGUUGUUAUUCACCUAGUUUUGUUUCCUGUUUAAGACAGUCUCUGACUGCCUGGAACCUGUCCCUAAGCCAGGGUGGCUGGUAAACCCCAGGGAUUUGCAUCUUCAUCUCUCUUUGUCCUGGGCUUUUUAUUUUUGUUUUUUAUUUAUUUUGCAUGUUAGUGUGUUUAUUUUAUCUUAUUUUAUUUUUAGACCGUGGCUUUUGGGGCUCAAGCUCAAGCCCCGCUUGCAAAGCAACAACUGCCUUCCCAGCUGAGCUACUCCUUGCCCUCAUGACUGUUUAUUGAUUGGGUUGAUAUUUUUGUUUUGUUUUUUGAGUUCUUUGUAUAUUCUAUUAGUCCUCUGCCAAGAUGGAAGGCUGUCUCUUCGCUCACUUAACUUCUAGCUUUGCUGUGCAGAAGCUUUUUGGUGUCAUGAGACCCAUUUGCUGCAUUUCAUUAUUUCCUGAGCAAGUGUAGCCCUCUUAUUUAGGAACAUCUUCCUUGUGCUUUUUAUCAGCUUCAUAGAUUUCCGUCUUAUGUGGGGAUCCUGGAGAGUUAACGGUCUCAUUUCAUUCUACAUUUAGAUGCCCAUUGUUGGAGACACCAUCUCUUCUCCAGGAUCUAUUUUUAGCAUCUUUAUAAAAGAUGAGGUGGCAGUAGUUACACAAAUUAUACUGGGUCCUCUUUUUGGUCUAUUGAUCAUGUCUGUGCAACUAUCUUGUUGAUUUGUUAUUGUGGCUUUGGAAUAUACUUGAAGUGAGAUGUGGUGACACUUGUAGGCUAAUCAUUUUUGCUCAGGAUUAAUGACUAUCUGGGUCUUUUGUAUUUCAGAGAGCGAGCGAGCGAAAGAGAGAGAAUUUCUAUUUCUGUGAAUGACAUUGUAGUUUUGAUGGGAAUUGUACUGGUUCUAUUGCACUGAACUUAUAGUUUCUGCUAGUAUAUGGUAGUAUGGUCUUUUUCACAAUUUCUUCUAAUCUAUGUGGGUGGCCUUUCAUCUUCUAAUGUAUCUUUUGAUUUCUCUCUUCAGUGUUUUGUUUUGGACUCUUGCUUCCUUAGGUUUAUUCCAAAAUAUUGUGUUUUGUUUUGUUUGUUUGCUUUGUUUUGUUUUGUUAGAGGCAGUAUUGAAUGGUGUUUGCAGAUUUCUAAACAUGUUUAUUACUUGUAUGUAAGAAAACUGCUGAUUAGUAGAAAUGAAAUCUAAGUAAGCCUUCAAGUUACUGACGCCUGAAGUUUGAGCCAUUUGCCAGUACUGAUUUAACUGAGGCUGGAAUAAGCCAGGCAUUGUAUGUGGAGUUUGUACCUGCAUCUACAGGACAGUGUUGCUUAACUCAUGGAUGCGCUAAGUGCAAUGAGGUAUGUACACAAUUUACAGGUGGGCUGCUUUUGCUGCCGUUUGUAGUUAUUGUUGGUUCUCAUUGUUUUGAGGUUCUCCUUCACUCUGUGAACCCAGCUGGCCUCUCUUGGUGAUUUGCCUUAGCUUCGCCUGGCUAGACUCAGUGCUGUGUGCUGAAAUGCCCAGGUAUAGGUUUUCUUUUUUUAAUUUUUCAAAGUGUAUGAUAUUUUAAUAUUUUCAUGUUGAGUAUUUUCAGUUAUAGAAAUACAGAUACAUAUGUAGUAUUUAAGCUGUUGCUAGUUUCUUACUUACGAGGCACUUUGCUCGGUUUAGUAUAUGAUAGUAGCUUAUAUAUAGUAAAGUUACAUUUCAUUUAACUUUUUAACUGAGAAGCCAACUGCAUAGAAUACAGUGGUUUGGACAAAUGCAUCCUAACACAUUUUAUGGUAUUGUCAGUACUUCGUGGUUACAGAAACUUUUAUCUGUUUGAGACUGCUAGCUCUGUCUCUCCUCCAGCUUCCAGCUUCUUCUUCCUCACGUUCCUCCUUUCUUUUCCCUCCCCCAUUUCUAAUGACUGUCUUGCCAUUGCCAUGUCUUCAGGUUCAAACAGUUGAGCUUUGAAAGGAAAGGGGUUUUGUUUCUUUUUUUUUUUUUUUUGAGUUUUAGUCUUUCUACCCAAGAUGAACAGUACUAUGAUGAGAUAUUUUUACUUCUCCCAUGACCAGACUUACAGCAUUGAUUAUUCAUGGGGGGGUGGGGGGGUUGGGGGAGGAACUUCCACUAAGAUAUACACUCAUUUGGUCAGCACUCUCACAGUAACAUGAUAAAACAGGAGGAUUGUCUUGUGUUGUGUUUUUAAAAAAGCAGGACCAAUUAAAUUGUGUAUCCCUAGGAAAAUAGCAGUGGAGUGAUUUUAUAUUCAGGACCAUGAAAAUAUCAAGAAACAUGUCUUAGCACCCCUCUUUUAAAUUAAUUGUCACAGGUAAUCGGUGGUAGUCUUGCUGGUUAAAAUGCUGUGAAGGAUGCCCCAUUACCUGAUAAAGUUAAAGACAUUUCCUUUAGCACUGGGAACACUACUGAAAAAUAAAAACAGCUGCUGUCAUUCUCCUUCCCUCUCUGAUGUGUUUUGCCCUUGGAUACAAAAGACUCCUGAAACAAGAGCAGAAGCCUGCUUUUAUAAUCUUGAAGAGGCUGCUUGAGGAAGCUGCCACUUUGCUUGUAAAGCUAGCUUCCAGUCUGGUUUCUGAGAGUAGGUAAUUCACUUGUCCUUUGAUGUCCUUAGUGACUUAGUAGAGUGGCCCUGACAACUCAGGAGAUCAGAUGCCCACAUGGCUUUCCUGUGUGUGAGUUUGCUAUACAUUCUCUCUUAUAGUACAGUGCUUCCCAUUCCCGCCAAAUCUGUAUCCCUCUUCCCCUUUCCUUUCUCACCUUUGUUUCUGUUUUUCUCUUUGCUUUGAAAUACAGGAAAGAGAAAAACUCAAGUAUGCAAUUGAACUUCAUGCUUUUAGUUGGCACUCAUGACUUUGACUUUCAGUUCUUUCUCCCAGGAGAACAGCCCUGUUGUCCACCAUUCUAGUGGAAGUUCAUCUCUGUGUGGGUAGGGGUGUGGGGUGUGUGUGUGUGUGUGUGUGUGUGUGUGUGAGACUGAUUGUCAUUUUAAAUAGUCCUACCCAUUCAACAGAGUACUGGAUUUAAUAAAUGAAUUGGAGAGGAAAAAAUAAUGUGGCUAUUUACUUAUUUAUUUAUUUUGAUUUUUUGAGACAGGGUUUCUCUGUGUAGCCCUGGCUAUUCUGGAACUUGAUCUAUAGACCAGGCUGGCCUUGAACUUAGAUCCAUCUGCCUCUGUCUCCUAAGGAAAUAAUGUUUUUUUAAUGUGCUGGGUUUUAUUCCUUACAGUUAAUUAUAUUUUAAUGUUUUGUCAAAGCUUUUUAAAGAAUAAUUUUUGUAGAAAUGUUUAUAAACAUGUAACUAUGUUGUAUGCUUCUACAAUUACUAAUAAAAUCGUUUUAAAG